rnacentral:rRNA from 1 species
AGUGAACGCUGGCGGUAGGCCUAACACAUGCAAGUUGAACGGCAGCACAGUAAGAGCUUGCUCUUACGGGUGGCGAGUGGCGGACGGGUGAGGAAUACAUCGGAAUCUACUUUUUCGUGGGGGAUAACGUAGGGAAACUUACGCUAAUACCGCAUACGACCUACGGGUGAAAGCAGGGGAUCUUCGGACCUUGCGCGAUUGAAUGAGCCAAUGUCGGAUUAGCUAGUUGGCGGGGUAAAGGCCCACCAAGGCGACGAUCCGUAGCUGGUCUGAGAGGAUGAUCAGCCACACUGGAACUGAGACACGGUCCAGACUCCUACGGGAGGCAGCAGUGGGGAAUAUUGGACAAUGGGCGCAAGCCUGAUCCAGCCAUACCGCGUGGGUGAAGAAGGCCUUCGGGUUGUAAAGCCCUUUUGUUGGGAAAGAAAAGCAGCAGGUUAAUACCCCGCUGUUCUGACGGUACCCAAAGAAUAAGCACCGGCUAACUUCGUG